AGUGAACGCUGGCGGUAGGCCUAACACAUGCAAGUCGAACGGCAGCACAGUAAGAGCUUGCUCUUACGGGUGGCGAGUGGCGGACGGGUGAGGAAUACAUCGGAAUCUACUUUUUCGUGGGGGAUAACGUAGGGAAACUUACGCUAAUACCGCAUACGACCUACGGGUGAAAGCAGGGGAUCUUCGGACCUUGCGCGAUUGAAUGAGCCGAUGUCGGAUUAGCUAGUUGGCGGGGUAAAGGCCCACCAAGGCGACGAUCCGUAGCUGGUCUGAGAGGAUGAUCAGCCACACUGGAACUGAGACACGGUCCAGACUCCUACGGGAGGCAGCAGUGGGGAAUAUUGGACAAUGGGCGCAAGCCUGAUCCAGCCAUACCGCGUGGGUGAAGAAGGCCUUCGGGUUGUAAAGCCCUUUUGUUGGGAAAGAAAAGCAGCAGGUUAAUACCCCGCUGUUCUGACGGUACCCAAAGAACAAGCACUGGCUAACUUCGUG
rnacentral:rRNA from 1 species